rnacentral:sRNA from 1 species
GCUGGGCAUGGUGGUACAUGCCUGUAGACCCAGCUACUUGAGAGGCUGAGACAGGAGAAUCUUUUGAGACCAGCCUGGGUAAAAUAGUGAGACCUUGUCUUAA